rnacentral:misc_RNA from 1 species
GUGAAGAACGCAGCGAAAUGCGAUAAGUAAUGUGAAUUGCAGAAUUCAGUGAAUCAUCGAAUCUUUGAACGCACAUUGCGCCCGCCAGUAUUCUGGCGGGCAUGCCUGUCUGAGCGUCAUUUCAACCCUCAUGCCCCUAGGGCGUGGUGUUGGGGAUCGGCCAAAGCCCGCGAGGGACGGCCGGCCCCUAAAUCUAGUGGCGGACCCGUCGUGGCCUCCUCUGCGAAGUAGUGAUAUUCCGCAUCGGAGAGCGAUGAGCCCCUGCCGUUAAACCCCCAACUUUCCAAGGUUGACCUCAGAUCAGGUAGGAAUACCCGCUGAACUUAAGCAUAUCAAUAAGCGGAGA